ACUAGCUUGAAGCGAUGCAGAGACAUCGAAGAAUAUGUUAAGUGAUUUAUGGAUUCAUCAUUAUGGAUUUAUUGUACAAAGACACUGUAGUUCCAGGCUGGAUGAAGAAACUUUUAAAAGGUUUGCAUGGAAUUGCGUGGAAGACCUCGGUGAAAUGGCGCAUUUCUCUUCUAAUAAAAAAAGAUGUCACUGAACAGCUUCCGCUUCUUGGACUCGCCCGUCUGUAUUUCCUGCCAGUGAGCUCUUCUGUGGAUGAAGUGGGAGAGGCCAAAUUUGGCCCACACAUGGCGAGCAAACUGAUCCGACCUCAGCUGGCUUUCACUCAGCACUGGAAGCACCCGACUACCCAACCUGGAGCAGGCCAUUAGAACAUACUGGCCCUGGGAGGACAAAAUAGUCAACAUGGAGAGUGAUUAGAUAAUGUCCCUGUGUAGUCAAUAAUGUUUCACUUCAAACAGAAAUGUUAAUUUCUUCAGGUCAGAAAUAAGAAUAUGAAAUAAAAACGUAUUCAUAUGCCGGUAGUUUCUAGUUUUUUUUUUUUGGUACCAAACAUCUAUUCUGGUGUAUGUUAAUGGAAACAUGUUUAGAUGAGUGGAGAUUUUCUGGUGAAAUACUGUAUGCUUUUAAUACUU